rnacentral:rRNA from 1 species
UGGGGAAUAUUGCACAAUGGGCGCAAGCCUGAUGCAGCCAUGCCGCGUGUAUGAAGAAGGCCUUCGGGUUGUAAAGUACUUUCAGCGGGGAGGAAGGGAGUAAAGUUAAUACCUUUGCUCAUUGACGUUACCCGCAGAAGAAGCACCGGCUAACUCCGUGCCAGCAGCCGCGGUAAUACGGAGGGUGCAAGCGUUAAUCGGAAUUACUGGGCGUAAAGCGCACGCAGGCGGUUUGUUAAGUCAGAUGUGAAAGCCCCGGGCUCAACCUGGGAACUGCAUCUGAUACUGGCAAGCUUGAGUCUCGUAGAGGGGGGUAGAAUUCCAGGUGUAGCGGUGAAAUGCGUAGAGAUCUGGAGGAAUACCGGUGGCGAAGGCGGCCCCCUGGACGAAGACUGACGCUCAGGUGCGAAAGCGUGGGGAGCAAACA